rnacentral:lncRNA from 1 species
UGAUGACCUCCGCGUAGGUCUGCGCGUCGGGGAAGAGGCCCUCCCCCUUCAUGGAGCCCCACACCUCCAUCGCCUGCUCCAUCCUCUUGCUCUUCGCCAGGGCGACGAUCAGGUCCUUGUACAGGUACACGUCCGGCCUGUACCAGCUCUCCCCCUGAAUCACCUUGAAGAUCUGCAGAAUUUUGAGGGAGACCUCUCUCGUCACCAUCAGCGAGCGGAGAAUCCCGAUCCCCAAUUGAUUCUCUAUCUGUUCCACAGAUUUAGGGAAGAAUCCAACACCGAAUCCUGAUCCCCGUGGAUCUGAUCCUCCAUCUGUUCCACAGAUCUAGGGAUGGAUCCGGCUGCGUGAUUGGCUACGGCGGGGAAUAUCCAAGAACAGAAGGCUACGACACCGAAGAAGAAAUGCUGAUUGAAGGCGGAAAUCAGAAGGGGAGAGUUCCGCGAGAUCGAUCCGAAUCGCCGAACAACUGACGAAGAGCCGCUGAUUCAAAGCAACAAUCGGACGGAAACAUGAAAUUCGGACAUCCGGAAGAUCUGGAGAGGAACCUUCGGCUCCAAGAUCAAGACCGCCGGAUUGAUCGAUUUCGUACGCCGGAAAUCGCGAGCAGAUGCUCAUUCAGAUCGUGCGAGUCGAGGAACAAGAACGCCGGAUUAGUUGAUCAGGAAUCAUUCAG